rnacentral:rRNA from 1 species
UGCAUAUCAAAAAGCGGAGGAAAAGAAACCAACAGGGAUUGCCUCAGUAACGGCGAGUGAAGCGGCAAGAGCUCAAAUUUGAAAGCUGGCCCCUUCGGGGUCCGCGUUGUAAUUUGCAGAGGAUGCUUCGGGUGCAGCCCCCGUCUAAGUGCCCUGGAACGGGCCGUCAUAGAGGGUGAGAAUCCCGUCUGGGACGGGGUGUCUGCGUCCGUGUGAAGCUCCUUCGACGAGUCGAGUUGUUUGGGAAUGCAGCUCUAAAUGGGUGGUAAAUUUCAUCUAAAGCUAAAUACUGGCCGGAGACCGAUAGCGCACAAGUAGAGUGAUCGAAAGAUGAAAAGCACUUUGAAAAGAGAGUUAAACAGCACGUGAAAUUGUUGAAAGGGAAGCGUUUGCGACCAGACUCGCCCGCGGGGUUCAGCCGGCAUUCGUGCCGGUGUACUUCCCCGUGGGCGGGCCAGCGUCGGUUUGGGCGGCCGGUCAAAGGCCCUCGGAAUGUAUCACCUCUCGGGGUGUCUUAUAGCCGAGGGUGCAAUGCGGCCUGCCUGGACCGAGGAACGCGCUCGGCUCGACGCUG